GACGAACGCUGGCGGCGUGCCUAAUACAUGCAAGUAGAACGCACAGUUUAUACCGUAGCUUGCUACACCAUAAACUGUGAGUUGCGAACGGGUGAGUAACGCGUAGGUAACCUGCCUGGUAGCGGGGGAUAACUAUUGGAAACGAUAGCUAAUACCGCAUAAUAUUGAUUAUUGCAUGAUAAUUGAUUGAAAGAUGCUAUUGCAUCACUACCAGAUGGACCUGCGUUGUAUUAGCCAGUAGGUGAGGUAACGGCUCACCUAGGCGACGAUACAUAGCCGACCUGAGAGGGUGAGCGGCCACACUGGGACUGAGACACGGCCCAGACUCCUACGGGAGGCAGCAGUAGGGAAUCUUCGGCAAUGGACGAAAGUCUGACCGAGCAACGCCGCGUGAGUGAAGAAGGUUUUCGGAUCGUAAAGCUCUGUUGUAAGAGAAGAACGGGUGUGAGAGUGGAAAGUUCACACUGUGACGGUAUCUUACCAGAAAGGGACGGCUAACUACGUG
rnacentral:rRNA from 1 species